rnacentral:rRNA from 1 species
AUGCUAUUUACUCCUAAAUUAUUCAUCUUUGUAACGUAUCAGGUGCUCGACAACGUCGUCGAUGUACCGUUCCUGCCGCUCCUGAUCGGCGAGAACCUCCUGCAGCUUCUUGGCGUUGCUCGCGAGCACCUUCCCCUCGUCGUCCACCAUGACGCGCCGCACCGCCGCGGCGACGCCGUCCCUGUCGAACGAGCCGUCGGUCUCGUCCCUCGCCACCUCCACGCCGACGCCCUUCUCCGCCAUGGUCCGCGCGACGAGCGGCUGGUCGACGACGAACGGGAGCAUCACCAGCGGGUGCCCAAACGCGAAGCUCUCCACGGUGGAGCCCCAACCGCAGUGCGUCAGGAAAGCGGCCACCGCGCCAUGCGCGAGCGCCUUCACCUGCGGCACCCACCCAGUCUCGACCAUGCCGCGGCCACGCGUCCUUUCCUCGAACCCGUCCGGCAGCACUCCGCGGUCGUCCGCACCGGUGCGGGAGUCGGAUGUGCCGCCGGGCGACCGGAGAGCCCACAGGAAGCGCACGCCGGCGAGCUCAAGCCCGAGCGCGAGCUCGUGCAGGUUCUUUAG